rnacentral:lncRNA from 1 species
GAUGAGCUCAGGACUCUGUGCCUUUGUCCUUUCCCGUGUUGAGGUGUGGAAUUGGUCCCUUUCCAAGGGCAUGUGAUAAACUGACUCACACCAAGGCAGUAAUAAGGGAGGCCAAUCUCCCCCUGGGGCCUUCGACUUUUAGUGGAGUAUUAAAACUUAAUUUAAACUGAUGAAUUGUAAUGGUGAGAUUUCAAGCCCUUCCAUGGGACAAUGGGAAGAUAUAUUUCUUUUUAAAUAAAGGGCUUUCUUCUGAAAUCAGACCACGCCCUUUCAAUGACUGACACAAACUGCUGGAGAGACGCAAAAGAUGAAGCAGUUAAUCCCACCACCUCUAGCUCAGGAUGAGAGAGCAACUCACACAUCCCUCUUAGAAGACCAAACUCUGGCCGGUUUUCUGCAUGCCUGGUGCUCCUUGCAGAAACAGAGCCUUCCUGCCUACCUCUGGAAUCCUGGGGCCUCAGGUGGUGCCCAGUCCACAGUAGGAACACAAUAGGAGAUGAGUGAGUAGGGGAGAAGUGAGCAGUUGGAUAUG